rnacentral:ribozyme from 1 species
CAAUUGUUUUUUUUUUUUUUUUUUUUUUUUAU